rnacentral:rRNA from 1 species
UACAGAGGGGGCAAGCGUUGUUCGGAAUUACUGGGCGUAAAGGGCGCGUAGGCGGCCUGUUAAGUCGAACGUGAAAUCCCUGGGCUCAACCCAGGAACUGCGUCCGAUACUGGUUGGCUUGAAUCCGGGAGAGGGACGUGGAAUUCCUGGUGUAGCGGUGGAAUGCGCAGAUAUCAGGAGGAACACCAAUAGCGAAGGCAGCUCGCUGGGUCGGUACUGACGCUAAGGCGCGAAAGCGUGGGGAGCGAACAGG